AUUGAACGCUGGCGGAAUGCUUUACACAUGCAAGUCGAACGGUAGAGGGGGCAACCCCUCGAGAGUGGCGAACGGGUGAGUAAUAUAUCGGAACGUGCCCAGUCGUGGGGGAUAACGUAGCGAAAGCUACGCUAAUACCGCAUACGAUCUAAGGAUGAAAGCGGGGGAUCGCAAGACCUCGCGCGAUUGGCGCGGCCGAUAUCAGAUUAGGUAGUUGGUGGGGUAAAGGCUCCCCAAGCCAACGAUCUGUAGCUGGUCUGAGAGGACGACCAGCCACACUGGAACGACGACACGGUCCAGACUCCUACGGGAGGCAGCAGUGGGGAAUUCUGGACAAUGGACGCAAGUCUGAUCCAGCCAUUCCGCGUGCAGGAUGAAGGCCCUCGGGUUGUAAACUGCUUUUGUACGGAACGAAAAGGUCUCUCUUAAUACGGGGGGCUCAUGACGGUACCGUAAGAAUAAGCACCGGCUAACUACGUGCCAGCCGCCGCAGUAA
rnacentral:rRNA from 1 species